AAACAAAGAAAAUAGUUCAUUAAUUACAUGCUUACAUGAAAUGCGUCACAGCACAAAUAAUUCAUAUCACGGAUUGGACCAACCCCAAAACAUCCCUAAGCUAUUUGUCCGGCCCCCUGAAAGGUGCCACAGGACUUCGUAAUGCCUGGCCCAGCCAGGUCUUAUCCAUAGGGCUAGUGAGGUCGUCCUCGGUCCAAUCUCCAAUAACAGUAAAUAAUGCAAUGCGUCAUAUUCGUGUAACUAGUGCAAUCAACCUAUUACAUAUAAACAUGAUGCAUGAGCAUGGUUUAGGCAUUUGAUUUUGUAAAAUAAAAGAUUUAGUUUAGUUCUACUCACCUCUGGCAGACGCUGAACUGACUCUGCAACAGCUAACACUGAUGGCCUUCUCGGUCCCUCGGGUCCGAUCCUACACAGGUGGACUCGAAUGAGGUGCCAACACACUUUAAACAACUCAUAAACAACUACCCAAAAACCCCCUAAAACAUCACUUAAACAUGCAUAGAAAACAACCUUGAAAAGGCUGGACAGGGCACUUUUGGCGGCACCUUCGACGGCCGAACCCUCCCUCUAGAGAUGAAACUCGGGCACUUUCGGCGGCACCUUCGGCGGCCGAAAGUCCCUCUCCAGAGACGAAAGUCAAGCACUUUCGGCGGCCAAACCUUUCUUCGGCGGCCGAAAGUCUGCUUUCAAGCCAAAACUCAACUUUCGAGGGCAAGGUUAGGCGGCCAAACCAUGCAUCCAUAGGCAGGUUCGGCGGCCGAAAGCCCUUUCGGCGGCCGAACCUGAGUUCUCCCAAGAAGGGCAGAACUCAGCUCUCACAUGCACAACAGCCCCCAAACCUUUACUAAACACCCGAAAACGAGCAACCAACCUCCUAAAAACAUUCAUAAACCCUUAACCAUGCACAAAGGAGCUUAAACAAACUUAAACUCCAACAAAGAACAUCAUAAAGCACAUAUGAAUAGCUUAUGACUCACAUAAGCCAAAACCAACAAAAACAACCCAUAACCUCAUUUGCUCUUUCACAAUCAUGCAUACACUCUCCCACAUGCAUAACCUAGCCUAAACAUUCAACAUAGCAUCAUAUAAACAUACAUGAGCAUCACAUAACAUACAUUGGGCAUAAAACCCACAUAAACCUAAACAUGCAUAUCUACCCAUACUUAACCAUUAAAACCUCUUAAAACUUACUUAAACUUCAUGAAACAUAAAGGAAAGCAUAGAUCCACACUUACCUCUUGAAGAUCGAGGGUUUGUGUGAGCUUUAACUUGGAGAUGGGAGGAAACUACUCCUUGGGUCUCCAAGCUCCCAAAACUUGAUCUAAGCUUGAAAACUCUUCAAAACAGCCAUAAAACUCAUGAAAACAUGAAGGAGAUGAAGAAAAACAUGAAAAUGACCAAAGGAGGACAUGAACUCACCUGAGCUCGAGAAUGGGGAGAAAACUCGCCCAUUUCCGAUCUGAGGGCUCUUUAUAGGUGGCCUGGUCAAAGACCUUCCGCAGCCUAACGUGCCCCCUAAACUCAUGCAUGUUAGGCGGCCGAACUUGAGGUUCAGCGGCUGAACCUUGGCUCGUUCAAACAAGACUUUCGGAGACCAAAAGCGCUCCCAAAACCUUUCCAUGUUCGGCGGCCGAACUUCACUUUCGGCGGCCGAACCUGGCAAACGCCUCCUUGGUCUUUUCUUUUCAAAACUCAAUUCUUUUCCAUUUAAAACCAUGAAAUCAGUAAAAACAUUUUAGAAAACACAUUUUACCCCUCUAGAAGCCUCUGGCAUCUUCAGAAUUCCCGACUCCAACGGAGAUUCCGCCGGAAGGUAAGGAUUCCGAUGCCGGAAUGUAGCCGGGUAUUACAUUCUUCCCCCCUUUAAGAACAUUCGUCCCCGAAUGUUGCACAAACAAACAGGCACUGCAUAAAACAUAACAUCAAUCAUACAUGAACAUGCAAGUAAACAAGCAAGCAAAACCUAAAACCUCUCUCUAAAGAGAGACAUAGGUACUGCUGGAGUAUAAACUCCCGGGUUUCUCAGGCACACCUUUUACCAAAAGAAACACCUUAGCAAUACCCAACCUACUCCUGAACUCCACAUGCUUUCACUGCGCUACUCUGAUCCUUACUCUUUUCUCUUCAUCUUCACUAACUGGCUUCUUCUCACUGCUAACCCAAAACUAACUCUAACUCUCACAGGUAGUACCCGAAUUUCAGAUCUAUCUUGGAAAAUAACCAGCUCCUACUAGCUGUUCCAAUAGGUCAUCCAUCUUGCACGAGAAAUACCUGCCCUUGGUAGUGACCUUGUUCAACUGCCUGUAGUUGACACAGGGUCCCAAGGAUCCAUCCUGCUUUUCCCACAACAACACUGGAGCAAUCCAGGGUGAGGUACUAGGUCGGAUAAAACCCUUGUCUACCAAGUCGCACAACUGCUUCAACAACUCCUACAACUCUGCAGGUACCAUCCUGUAGAGAAAGAUAGAGAUGAACCUGAUGCUAGGCAUCACUUCUAUUUCCAAACUCUAUCUCUCUAGCAGGUGGUAAACCUGACAGCUCACCUGGGAAGACAUCUAGAACUCUUUCUAACAACUGGCUCUGAGGCUGGUUCCCUGACCCGACUGCUAAACUCUCAAACAAGAACUAAAACCCUCUGACAAUCCCUCCUAUGCACCCUACGAACCUGACAGGUUGACAUCAAACCUCGAGGCAUCCCUACUGUGUUCCCUCAGAAGACUACCUCUGAUCCAUCCUAUCCUCAGAAUCUGACUACCUUGUCUCAGCAGACUAAGAUAGCACCACGAGCAGAAAAACCCAAUCCAACCCUAAACUGACGUCCAGACAGUCAAGUCUAGGACCUCAAAGUCGGGUGGAAGGCAUCUACCCCCAACUGACACAGAACUGGACCGGCAGACUAACUCUGCCACAGAUGGAUCACACUCGGGUCCACUGACCCAAAGAGAACACUCUAGCCCAGAAGCUAUCAACUCAACCUCUCGACGGCUCCUAGAGCAACUAAAGAAAGAGAAAAACACUAGGGUUCACAAAAACAUACACAUCAGAACAUUCAAAAGUGAGCAUACCUGGCACCACUGUGUUUGAUGUGUCUGCCUCCUGCCGAGCUUGGGUGAAGAUCCGAGCUGGAGCUGACGGACCUUCUCCACGGGAACCUGAGGAAUGAGGGACUGACCCUCUUCCUCUGCCUCGACCACUAAUCUGAAACAUGGCUGAGGCUGCUGGCUGAGACUGUACUACCCGGGGCACAGUAGGACACUCACGUGCUAUGUGUCCUUCCUGUCCACACCUGUAAUAAGCUGUCGUCCCAACCCGACAGACUCCUUUGUGCGGCCUUCCGCACCUCAAGCACCUUGAACUGCCUAAGCCAGAGCUUGAGCCACCAAAACCCAGACUAGCCUUCAAACGAUUCCAAAACUUACUCUUCUUUAACCUUCUCAGGCCUCUGCCCCCCUUUUUAGUGGUGUUUCCCCACCUUUUAUCUCUUGAGGCAGCUGUACUCAGAGUGGAGGGAUCAAUCCCUCCUGAUCCUGAGAUCCUAGAAUCCUGAGUCUGAGCAUCCUCCUGAGAAUCUCCCAUACCUUCCUCUGGUACUCUGACUCCCAAACUGACAUCUCUUCUCUGAACACCCAACUCUACUUCCCUCAUACUAGCUGACAUCCUUCUUGGAGCCAUUCCUUCUCUGCUUGCAUCAAAAGACCUUCCAGGGUCCCUCGAUGUUCCCCAUCUGCUGACUCCCCACGACUGCGCUCUUGGCAGAGCAGGGGGAAAGGUGUCCAAACCUUCCCUCUCAGAUGGAACUCUAGUCGAUUCCACAGAUCGACGAGCAUCUCGCAUUCUGGCUCCUCUAAAGAACAACACACAAGCAUACAAACAUUAGCAUCAUAUGGUUCAGGUGGAAACACAUGAACCACAACAUACAUGCAUACAUAGCAUAACAUUAAUGCACAUGCAUAAAAUCAUAGCAUUCCAUAUCAUCAUACAAGACAGGACUCAACAUCCAAUCCUAGUGGACAUGAUUUUACUUAUUGUGCUUGCCCUUCUAUGACCUCUAAACCAACCUCUUUCCGAUGCGCAACACACCGUACUCUUGAGGCCCAAAGCUUUGAUACCACUCUGUAACGACCCGGAAACCGGUACCCCCUAUGUAACGGCCCGAACCGCCACCGGCGCUAGGAUCCAGAUCGGCUUAAGGCCGCCGGGACCGGUAGCAAGCCAAACAUACCUCCUACCACCUGGUCAAAUCCCAUACAAGAUCAAAACUUAAACAUAAAAGCUUAACCUCUGAUGUAAAUACCGAGCUUGACCUGUAUGCAACAUAACUGGAAACAUGAAGUACCCCCUACUAGAGCCCUCAUCAAAACUCUAGCUGGGUCAACAUAACAUACAUCAAGCCGGAGUCACAUCCAAAGAACUAGAACCUAACCUGUGCAUGCAUCAAAACCACAAACAUAAGACCUCCACUAGGGUCCUCAUCAAACACUAGCGUGGUAAACAACACAUGCCACCAGUUUAGUUCAAACACAACUCAACAUCUAAAACAUUACAUACAUCAUGUAUUAAAUAGGGACUAACCAAGUCUUAGGGCCAAGCACAGUUCUAAUCCAUAAACAUAACUCUACUUUACUUUACAUUACAAUACAUUAUCUCAAUUUACAUUACAUGUCCACACUAAAACACUAAUCUAAUACUAUUACAUAAGCAUGACUUUUUACCCUUGACGUCUUCCUGGCCUACCUCUGACCUGCAAAACUGGGUUUAGGGGAGAGGGGUGAGCUAAAGAGCCUAGUGAGUAGAAACAAAGAAAACAGUUCAUUAAUUACAUGCUUUCAUGAAAUGCGUCACAGCACAAAUAAUUCAUAUCACGGAUUGGACCAACCCCAAAACAUCCCUAAGCUAUUUGCCCGGCCCCCUGAAAGGUGCCACAGGACUUCGUAAUGCCUGGCCCAGCCAGGUCUUAUCCAUAGGGCUAGUGAGGUCGUCCUCGGUCCAAUCUCCAAUAACAGUAAAUAAUGCAAUGCGUCAUAUUCGUGUAACUAGUGCAAUCAACCUAUUACAUAUAAACAUGAUGCAUGAGCAUGCU
rnacentral:lncRNA from 1 species